rnacentral:lncRNA from 1 species
CAAGAUCAUAUUUUUAAAUGAGCGGGUCGGGUGCAUUAUUUUUAUAUAAGGCCUAAUAUUUGAGGCCUGAGUUGCGGUCAUUUAUGUACCCGCGCACCUAUGCUACAGAGAGAUCGCUACCGCGAUUUAGAAAAGUACUAGACCCCUCCUACUUCCGUGAUUUAGAAAAGUACAGGACACGCCUCCAACUACAAGUUACGCCUACUACAAGUCACGCCUCCGUCUUGCAGGAAGCAGACGGAUACUAUUGGAGUAAGAACAUGGUUGCCCAAAUAGCACACCUGUAUUUGAUGUGGAUGAUUAUGUUGCAAAGGCUAGGAGCUGCAAAUGCUUGUGUUGAGUGGCUACAGGGCCACAAUAUAAAGAGAUAGCAGUGGAUCAGUGCAACAGUGCUUUAGGUCUGGUUUGGCCUCAACAAAUCUGUCUGGGAAAUACUUUGAAUCUAGUGUGCCAUGGCUGUUGGGUGCAUUCUCAGAGUGUCUUGGUUUUCUUGGUUGCUGUUUGGUGGCAGUCUUCCUUUUCCAUCAUUGAAGGGUUAUAGCUAUACCUCCAAGAAUGACCAUCCUGAAAUUGGGGGUGAUAAAGAUGACGAGCUACAAACUUCUCAUACUCUAAGGUUUGAUGCAUAUAGCCUAGAAAAAGGCUAUUCAGACCGAAGCAAAAACGUCCCACUAGCUGCAGCUCCAAAGCAGGCACCGUUGAACCCCGAGGAAGGGGCGAGGAUCCAGGGAGGAGGAGCUGUGGAGUUUGGACAGAAAAAUGCUGAGAUGGAAGACCAGAAACUUGUCAAGCCAGUGACAUUCCCUCUAAACCCUCCCAACCAGCAUGAUCACUCUUUUGAGGAGCAGUGGGGCAGCACGAAGCCUCACUUCCCACCCUCUGACACUAAAGGGGCUUACUCUUCAUUGCACCUUGACCUCCCAGCUGGUGUACAAGAAGGUUCACAAAGCUAUUCCACUAACCUUGUCGAUGAGGCUGUUUAUCAAUACCCAGCUGCUGAAACUGCACAGCUUCCUUCACCAGAUGAUGACCCCUACACCUAUGACUCUGUGGUUGCGGAACAGCCAAGCAGUUGGUCCUCUGAUCGUUACAUUACCACAGAAGAGCCGGUAUUCUCCAGUAAUGCAGGUGACUGGGCCCACGCCGCUCCGAACAUUGGUGAACAUAUUCUGGAGGCUGAAGCAGUACCUAGUACUGACACUAAAGGGGGUUACUCUAGCUCUUCACUGCACCUUGACCUCCCAGCUGGUGUACAAGAGGGUUCACAAAGCUAUUCCACUAACCUUGUUGAUGAGGCUGUUUAUCAAUACCCUGCUGCUGAAACUGCACAGCUUCCUUCAGAAGAGAGUGACCUCUCCGACUACAACUCUGUGAAUGUGGUCCAGCCCAGCACUUGGUCUUCUGCUCCUUACAUGACUAGAGAAGAGGAGCCGGUUUACGUCAGUAAUUCAGGUGACUGGGCCCAAGCAGCGCAGACCAUUAGCGAACAGCCUCUGGAGGCGGAAGCAGUACCUAGUACUGACACUAAAGGGGAUUACUCUAGCUCUUCACUGAACCUCAACUUCCAAGCUGGUGUACAAGAAGGUUCACAAAGCUAUUCCACUAACCUUGUCGAUGAGGCUGUUUAUCAAUACCCUGCUGCUGAAGCUGAACAGCUUCAUUCAGAGGGGGUUGACGCCUCCAAGUAUGACUCUAUGAACGCAGUCCAGCCAAGCACUUGGUCCUCGGCUUCCUACUUGACCAGAGAAGAGGAGCCGGCAUUCUCCAGUCAUACAGGUCACUGGGCCCAUGUUGCUCCUGUGGAAACCCCUGCCUAUCCAAGCUAUGUGACUGACUACGGCUUGGACUCGACUUCAAGUAAAGCCGCUGCACAACCAGUCCUCUUCAAGCCACUGAAGAAGGCUCCUCAGCUCCCCAGCUCCAAGUGGCUUCAGAGGCCAAAGAAGGUGAGGGACCAGACUGCAUCUACCUACAUUGUCCAAUCCAAGGGCUCACACCGCCGAAGCCGCCAGAUGUUAUCCAAGAAGAAGUACUUCAGCGGUUUCCCUCCACCACCCCCAUCCGUGCUUAUGGCUCUGAGACCGUAAGGGGUAAAUGGUGACCACUUGGCCUUCAAUCAAUUGUGUAUUUUUCCCACUUGCUUAUGGAUUUCUACACUGACUAUACCUUCAGUAAUGCUUCGCACUUUCAGCAUAAAAGCUUGUUCCCUGAAAAGAAUAAACAAAAUGUAACCAUUUAAACUUGACUU